rnacentral:rRNA from 1 species
CGGGACACGUGGUAUCCUGUCUGAAUAUGGGGGGACCAUCCUCCAAGGCUAAAUACUCCUGACUGACCGAUAGUGAACCAGUACCGUGAGGGAAAGGCGAAAAGAACCCCGGCGAGGGGAGUGAAAAAGAACCUGAAACCGUGUACGUACAAGCAGUGGGAGCACGCUUAGGCGUGUGACUGCGUACCUUUUGUAUAAUGGGUCAGCGACUUAUAUUCUGUAGCAAGGUUAACCGAAUAGGGGAGCCGAAGGGAAACCGAGUCUUAACUGGGCGUUAAGUUGCAGGGUAUAGACCCGAAACCCGGUGAUCUAGCCAUGGGCAGGUUGAAGGUUGGGUAACACUAACUGGAGGACCGAACCGACUAAUGUUGAAAAAUUAGCGGAUGACUUGUGGCUGGGGGUGAAAGGCCAAUCAAACCGGGAGAUAGCUGGUUCUCCCCGAAAGCUAUUUAGGUAGCGCCUCGUGAAUUCAUCUCCGGGGGUAGAGCACUGUUUCGGCAAGGGGGUCAUCCCGACUUACCAACCCGAUGCAAACUGCGAAUACCGGAGAAUGUUAUCACGGGAGACACACGGCGGGUGCUAACGUCCGUCGUGAAGAGGGAAACAACCCAGACCGCCAGCUAAGGUCCCAAAGUCAUGGUUAAGUGGGAAACGAUGUGGGAAGGCCCAGACAGCCAGGAUGUUGGCUUAGAAGCAGCCAUCAUUUAAAGAAAGCGUAAUAGCUCACUGGUCGAGUCGGCCUGCGCGGAAGAUGUAACGGGGCUAAACCAUGCACCGAAGCUGCGGCAGCGACGCUUAUGCGUUGUUGGGUAGGGGAGCGUUCUGUAAGCCUGUGAAGGUGUACUGUGAGGUAUGCUGGAGGUAUCAGAAGUGCGAAUGCUGACAUAAGUAACGAUAAAGCGGGUGAAAAGCCCGCUCGCCGGAAGACCAAGGGUUCCUGUCCAACGUUAAUCGGGGCAGGGUGAGUCGACCCCUAAGGCGAGGCCGAAAGGCGUAGUCGAUGGGAAACAGGUUAAUAUUCCUGUACUUGGUGUUACUGCGAAGGGGGGACGGAGAAGGCUAUGUUGGCCGGGCGACGGUUGUCCCGGUUUAAGCGUGUAGGCUGGUUUUCCAGGCAAAUCCGGAAAAUCAAGGCUGAGGCGUGAUGACGAGGCACUACGGUGCUGAAGCAACAAAUGCCCUGCUUCCAGGAAAAGCCUCUAAGCAUCAGGUAACAUCAAAUCGUACCCCAAACCGACACAGGUGGUCAGGUAGAGAAUACCAAGGCGCUUGAGAGAACUCGGGUGAAGGAACUAGGCAAAAUGGUGCCGUAACUUCGGGAGAAGGCACGCUGAUAUGUAGGUGAAGUCCCUCGCGGAUGGAGCUGAAAUCAGUCGAAGAUACCAGCUGGCUGCAACUGUUUAUUAAAAACACAGCACUGUGCAAACACGAAAGUGGACGUAUACGGUGUGACGCCUGCCCGGUGCCGGAAGGUUAAUUGAUGGGGUUAGCGCAAGCGAAGCUCUUGAUCGAAGCCCCGGUAAACGGCGGCCGUAACUAUAACGGUCCUAAGGUAGCGAAAUUCCUUGUCGGGUAAGUUCCGACCUGCACGAAUGGCGUAAUGAUGGCCAGGCUGUCUCCACCCGAGACUCAGUGAAAUUGAACUCGCUGUGAAGAUGCAGUGUACCCGCGGCAAGACGGAAAGACCCCGUGAACCUUUACUAUAGCUUGACACUGAACAUUGAGCCUUGAUGUGUAGGAUAGGUGGGAGGCUUUGAAGUGUGGACGCCAGUCUGCAUGGAGCCGACCUUGAAAUACCACCCUUUAAUGUUUGAUGUUCUAACGUUGACCCGUAAUCCGGGUUGCGGACAGUGUCUGGUGGGUAGUUUGACUGGGGCGGUCUCCUCCUAAAGAGUAACGGAG